AUGAAUAUAAGGAUAUUUAUUACUGCAAACUCGAAGGCUAAUACUUGUCACCAUGCUGAUUCUUGGUCUCCACCACAUCUCCACCACCCCUGGGCUUUGAGGCACUAUCCAUAGGAGAUGCUGCUGCACUUUGAAGCAGUACGGACUGGAAGCUGCAGUUUUACAAGAUCCUAUCUACAGCAAGAGAUGAAAGAGAUCUUGCAAGGGUACCCGGGUGUUCCUAUUGCAAAUGCUGUGCUUGGAGCUCACAAAUAAAGGACAAGGAAAAGAAAAGGCUUUGAACAAAAAUUCACAUGAUGUAGCUGUAAUUAACUGCUACAAGUACUUGCAGAAUGCAUGUGCAAGAAUGAGAUGAUACCCACUUGCUCAGACAGACAGGAUAUCCUAUACAAUCCAAGGUAAGAAGUCGUCCAGGAUAAAGGCUAUUUUACAAAUGUCUAGCAAGAAAAAGACUAAUAAUCUCUUUCUCCUUUACGUCUUCCUGUUAAAUAUACUCUACCUUUUCAAACCUCUGAGCAAGUAUCUGAAGGACAUCAAGCCUGCGCCAGUUGUGAGGAAUUAAUUGAACAUACAAAGGGAUUGUGCUGUGUACAACAUCACAAUUAACUUAGUCGUUAAAUAGGUAAUAGCACUUGACUGUUAAAUGGUGAAGGAAUGUGUUUGCUAAAUGAAUUUUGCUACUUGUUUAAAGGAUAUGGUUUAGGGUCUCAUUAAAUAAUGAUGUCACCAGGAAAGGCUGGAUUGCAAAUCCUGCCCUUUCUCCUGGCUCAGAGACCUUCAUCUCACAGAAUCAAAGAAUCUCAUUCCCAGAGAAUUUGAAUGAGAAGAUGUAUUUUCUCAGAUUUGAUGCACUGUUGGCCACAGCUAUGCAGAGAAUAAGCCAUCCACAACCAGAUGAAAUCUGCAAGUAUGAUAUCCUAAGAAAUCAGGGAAAGGUGUUUUCUUUCAUUCUCCAGUAAAUAAAGUUUCAGAUCUCUUUAAAUGAUUUGAGAUAUCAAACAUACUUCUCAGAAAAAUCAACAGAAGCAUCAUGUUCCUCAAAGUCAUACUUUUGUUUGUUCUUCCAUUCCAGAAGUUUCCUUAACAAGGAUAAUCAAGCUUUGACAGGAUUGUGCUCUGAAAUGUCAGUGCUGUUUAUCUUUUGCUCUUGACUUCAACAGUAUGAUCUAAAUUUUCAGAUCUUGAUCUAUGGGAAUCAUAAAUCAUGGGAAACAGGUACCUAAAGAAUUGAAUAGUAAGUUUCACUUUGUUUUCAAGGUAGUCUAGUAUUAGAUAUGGAGGUUGGUGGCCUUGCCUGCAGCAGGGCAGGUUGGAG